rnacentral:rRNA from 1 species
GAUGAACGCUAGCUACAGGCUUAACACAUGCAAGUCGCGGGGCAGCAUGGGGGUUGCUUGCAAUCCCCGAUGGCGACCGGCGCACGGGUGAGUAACGCGUAUCCAACCUGCCCUUCACCACGGGAUAACCCGGCGAAAGUCGGACUAAUACCGUAUGUUGUCCAUUGACGGCAUCCGAUUUGGACGAAAGGUUUGGCGGUGAAGGAUGGGGAUGCGUCCGAUUAGCUGGACGGCGGGGUGACGGCCCACCGUGGCGACGAUCGGUAGGGGUUCGGAGAGGAAGGUCCCCCACACUGGAACUGAGACACGGCCCAGACUCCUACGGGAGGCAGCAGUGAGGAAUAUUGGUCAAUGGGCGUAAGCCUGAACCAGCCAAGUAGCGUGCAGGAGGACGGCCCUAUGGGUGGUAAACUGCUUUUAUGCGGGGAUAAAGUGGCCCACGUGUGGGUUUUUGCAGGUACCGCAUGAAUAAGGACCGGCUAAUUCCGUG